GACGAACGCUGGCGGCGUGCUUAACACAUGCAAGUCGAACGGAAAGGCCCUGCUUUUGUGGGGUGCUCGAGUGGCGAACGGGUGAGUAACACGUGAGUAACCUGCCCUUGACUUUGGGAUAACUUCAGGAAACUGGGGCUAAUACCGGAUAGGAGCUCCUGCUGCAUGGUGGGGGUUGGAAAGUUUCGGCGGUUGGGGAUGGACUCGCGGCUUAUCAGCUUGUUGGUGGGGUAGUGGCUUACCAAGGCUUUGACGGGUAGCCGGCCUGAGAGGGUGACCGGCCACAUUGGGACUGAGAUACGGCCCAGACUCCUACGGGAGGCAGCAGUGGGAAAUAUUGCACAAUGGACGGAAGCCUGAUGCAGCAACGCCGCGUGCGGGAUGACGGCCUUCGGGUUGUAAACCGCUUUCGCCUGUGACGAAGCGUGAGUGACGGUAAUGGGUAAAGAAGCACCGGCUAACUACGUG
rnacentral:rRNA from 1 species